UUCCGCCUCCAUCGGUGUAGGGUUUCGUUUCACUCUCCCGCAGUCGCUGACCCUGAUGGGUAAGGAGAGGGAGGAUGGGUGCCGCGUCGUCGAUGUCUGUAUCGUCCAUAGCGUCCUUGGUAGAUGCAUCUAUGGUUCAAACUUAUGGUUCGGGUUUCUGAGGGUUUGGGGAGAAGGAUAGGGGAUCUGACCUCCGUCGUGCAGAAAAGGUUCCAUUUUGCGCGAGAACAGAGUCGAGAUCUAUGCGGAGAACGUUACGAAUAGAGGGAUUUCUCUUACAUAAGCUUCUGGGAAGGCCUUGCAGUGAGGAGGCAUCUGUUGCAGUCAGAGAUGAGUUUGAGGUUUGCAUGUUCUCAUGAGGUUGAUCCUUUGCUUGCAGACGGAGGUAUAAGGGUAUGCACGAGUUAAGCAAAACCAGCUAAGGGGGAUGGUCACGAGUGAUAGCUGGUCACGAGCGAUGGCGAGAAGGGUUGGGAGUGAUCCUUCGGGGGCAAGGGGGAUGGGUAGCGGGGCGGAGACACGAUUAGAUGGCGGGCACAGGGCGAUAGUCGAUAGGAGUAACAUGGCAGGCACAGGGCGAUGUAAAAUUUCAGACAAUGCAUACCCUUUCAAGAAACAAUGCAUUUUCUCCCUUUGUGUUAUAUUCCAUUGGAAAGCACAGGAUACUAUUCAUUAUUCUGGUGCGGCUGUCAUAAUCACAGAUGAAAACAUUAGCAUAACGUAGAUCUCAAAUCUAGAAAUAAACGCAGAUAGAUCAUUGGCUGA